CGAGCAAAACUCUGCUCAAGGAUCCAAAGUCAUCACCAGGAAAGGGGAAAGUGCUUCUCCUGGGGACUGGCAGAACCUCUAUGACUCAGCACUGGUGUCAUAAAGCCUGGGGAGAGGGACUCUUAGCGGGGCCUUUGCUCACUUACAGGCCAGCUGGGGCCAUAUUGUCCAAAACAAAAAGACAAAACAAUGAUCGGCAAAGUGAAUAAAACCUCUAAGGAAGGCUUCACACCCACAUCUUCUAGUGUGGGAUCAGAAACGAAGUGGGCCCUGGUCCUCCUGAUGUUCACAACCCUUACCUCUCAGGAUCUUCUAAGAGUCACGUACGGGAGAGGCCUGCACACAGAAGGCAGCCAAGAAAUUGAUGAGAAAGAUUCAGCUGCUCGAGCUCCACGGGCUGGAAAGGAACCACGCCGCAUCUGUGAACCUGAUGUGAAUCCCAUCUGCCUGCUGAAGGAACACACUGGAGACCGUCUUAGGUGACAGCUGGCACAGCGCUGUCUGACAGAAGUUUCUGCAGCAAUGGAAAUGUACUGUUCCGUGCUAACCACAUGUGGCUACUGAGCACUUGAAAUGGGGUGAGUCAACUCUUAAUUGAAAUGUAAAUCGCCACAUGCGGCCAGUGGCUAUCAUACUGGAC
rnacentral:lncRNA from 1 species